rnacentral:rRNA from 1 species
GAUGAACGCUGGCGGCGUGCCUAAUACAUGCAAGUCGAGCGAACAGACGAGGAGCUUGCUCCUCUGACGUUAGCGGCGGACGGGUGAGUAACACGUGGAUAACCUACCUAUAAGACUGGGAUAACUUCGGGAAACCGGAGCUAAUACCGGAUAAUAUAUUGAACCGCAUGGUUCAAUAGUGAAAGACGGUUUUGCUGUCACUUAUAGAUGGAUCCGCGCCGCAUUAGCUAGUUGGUAAGGUAACGGCUUACCAAGGCAACGAUGCGUGGCCGACCUGAGAGGGUGAUCGGCCACACUGGAACUGAGACACGGUCCAGACUCCUACGGGAGUCAGCAGUAGGGAAUCUUCCGCAAUGGGCGAAAGCCUGACGGAGCAACGCCGCGUGAGUGAUGAAGGUCUUCGGAUCGUAAAACUCUGUUAUUAGGGAAGAACAAAUGUGUAAGUAACUAUGCACGUCUUGACGGUACCUAAUCAGAAAGCCACGGCUAACUACGUG